AUGGCUUCUUGUGCUGGCGGUGGUGACGAGCCGCUGACGGAGGCGCUGCUAGCGAGGGCGGGCAGCGGCGACAAGGAUGACCUGGAGGAGAUCCACAGCGUGUCGGCGUUCCUACGGUGCGCGGCGGAGGAGAACCGGCGGCUGUGGCACCUGGCCGGGCCGGCCAUCUUCACGUCGCUGGCGCAGUACUCGCUGGGCGCCAUCACGCAGGUCGCCGCCGGCCACCUCACCACGCUCGAGCUGGACGCCGUCUCCACCGAGAACUCCGUCGUCGCCGGCCUCGCCUUCGGGAUCAUGUACGGCAUGGGGAGCGCGCUGGAGACGCUGUGCGGGCAGGCCUACGGCGCCAAGAAGCUCCCCAUGCUCGGCGUCUACCUGCAGCGCUCCUGGCUGCUGCUCACCGCCACGGCCGUCUGCAUGCUCCCGCUCUACCUCUUCGCCACCCCGAUCCUGAGGUUCUUCCACCAGGACGACCAGAUCGCCGUCAUGGCCGGGCGGUUCUCGCUCUACAUGAUCCCGCAGCUCUUCGCCUACGCGCUCAACUUCCCCAUCCAGAAGUUCCUGCAGGCGCAGAGCAAGCUGGUGGCCAUGGCGGCGGUGUCCGCGGCGGCGCUGGUGUUCCACGUCGCGCUCACCUGGUUCCUCGUGGUGCCCAUGCGGAUGGACCUCGUUGGCCUCGCCGUCGCGCUUAACGCGUCGUGGUGGUUCGUCGUGCUCGGCCAGCUCGCCUACAUCGUCAUGGGUUACUGCCCCGGCGCCUGGAACGGCUUCCAGUUCGACUCCCUCGCCUUCACCGAGCUCUUCAGCUUCGCCCGCCUCUCCAUCGGCUCAGCAAUCAUGAUCUGCUUGGAGUUCUGGUUCUACAUGUUCCUUAUUGUGAUCGUGGGCAAUCUUCCCAACGCUCAGGUUGCCGUCGCCGCAGUCUCCAUCUGCACCAACCUGUUCGGGUGGCAGAUCAUGGUGUUCUUCGGAUUCAAUGCAGCCAUCAGCGUGAGGGUGUCGAACGAGCUGGGCGCGGGGCGGCCGCGGGCGGCGAGGUUCGCGAUCGCGGUGGUGCUCAUGUCGUCCGUGGCCAUCGGAGUGGCCUUCUUCGUGGCCGUGCUGCUCCUCCGGGACGUCUACGGCGCGCCCUUCACGGAGCCCGAGGUGGUGCACGCCGUGGCCAGCCUGGGCGUGGUCUUCGCCUUCACGCUCCUGCUCAACAGCGUCCAGCCCGUGCUGUCCGGCGUGGCCGUCGGGGCCGGGUGGCAGUGGCUGGUGGCGUACAUCAACCUCGGGUGCUACUACGGGGUCGGCAUCCCGGUCGGGUACAUGAUCGCCUUCCCGCUGCGCCGCGGGAUUCAGGGGAUGUGGGGCGGCAUGCUCACCGGGGUGGGCCUGCAGACCGUGAUCCUGAUCGCGAUCACGAUGCGCACCAACUGGAACAAGGAGGCAAGGGAGGCGAGCUCCAGGAUACGGCAGUGGGGUGGUGGUGGUGAUGGUGCAUCGCCCAGGAUCCCGGACAGCUUCUAG
rnacentral:rRNA from 1 species